rnacentral:tRNA from 1 species
GGCCUCGUGGCCCAAUGGCAAGGCGUCUGACUACGAUGCAGAACGAUAAAAGUUCUUCAUGAUAAUCAGGAGAUUCUGGGUUCGACCCCCAGCGAGGUCA